GUUUAAUUUUUGUCUUCACGGCGAUAAAUGUAUAUAUUUUUUUUAUUUUCACGACGAGUAAUACUGGUCUGCGCAACUUUUUAAACGACGAAAGGUGCUCACCUGCUUGUAGUCACUUCAAAAAGGAAAUCGUGCUGCAGGUGUAAACAGGCUGGCAUCAAAGGCAGGCCAGGUAGCCCGGCUCCGCAAUUGGGUUCACAAGGAUGGCCUGGUGAACAGUGUGCCCCCAGCUCUCGAUAUGACGACGCCUGAUUCCCCUGCAGUUCACGGGUGGCCGAUGACACCACAACGUCAAGAUAAGACUGGGAAGUCCAUCCACAGACAUCUCACGGACCAGCAGCUUUGUGGACAACAUGGACUUUGCCAUUCCAUCGCCAGUGGGGACUGACAUGACUCAGUCGGUUGGGUGCUGGUCAGCAGUGAAAGUCAUCCGAGGAAUGCAGCGCUUUGUGGCAACAGCGGAAAUUUCAGAGAAACGUGUGCAUAAAACAGGACUGCGCUGUUGGAGCCAGACUGAUCCAACCGGAGGAUAAGGUUAGGAGAGGGAUUCUCAAAAAGGAGACUGGAGGGAACAGCUGGGAGCCGUGUUUCGGCACAGGCACUCCUGUCCGGUAAACACGCCCCCAGACCUUUAAAACGUGACGUCCCAAGACCAGUUGUCCCUGCAGCGGUAUGGAUGAAAGGUGACGGCAAUGGACCAGAAGGUGGAGGAUGUUCAGAAGGUUCUGGAAGAGCGGUCCAGGCCCAAGCCUGAUUUCCUGCAGGGGAACAAAGAUCGCUUCAGUUCCAGGGUCACCUUUCUGAAGCAUCUGGGCAAUAGGCACGGACCAGGCCCAACGACGACAUCAACGCCAGCAGCCAUGUUGCCAGACCAGUCCAGCCAGGCGGCAGCCGCAGAAGCAAGAAUUUCACUCCCCGUUUUACCGUUGCUCCCAAAAAAUGCCAAUGGCAAUGACCUCUAACCUCAGCGAGUAGGGGAGGGGUGGGGAGUAGCUCUUUCUUGGCAUCUCAUAAAUUUCUUUUGAGGGCUGCAUGGAGAACCUUUGCUCCACUUGAGUCAUUCCUGGUUAUAAGUGAAAACUAUUCAGCCAGAGCAGUGCAGCAGGCCUGUGGCAUUUAGAAAUAGCAAUAAUAACCGACAGAUUAUUUAUGCAUCUUGGUUCAGAUGACAUUUAAAAAUUGUACAUGAAACCUGUGGGUGAUAGUUUCAGUGUGAAUGCAAUUGGCUCAAAGCUUUCACAAACAAACAAUCGAAUGAUAAAUCAACAGGAACGUAAAGGUCAGGAGGAAACCCUCAAGUGCAGACGCAUUUAAAAAGCAACCAUAACUAAUACUGAAAAAAUUAUCAUGAAAAAAAACAAAUAAAACUUUAUAUUUACACUGUUAACACUGGAAUUAAAAAUGCGCUACUUGAGAACUGUUUCUCAUACUUUGCAGGUUUGAUGUGUUGCUUUGUAUUAUAUAUUUUAUAACAGUGUUAAUGACACUCAGGCAUAAGCAUUUGCUUUCCAGUAGCCUUUUAGCCUGGAUAGCCUCCACAUAGCAAUGGAGCCAAACUGUAGGGACUAAUCAAGAGCUGAUUUAUUGCUACUGUUAUGCUAAUAACACGUAUCAAAACAGCCAUGAGAGGACUUGGUGCAGUCGAAAAUAGUCAGAGAAGACUGACAGUUUUACUGUGUUGUGCAGUCAGUUUCACUUGAGUGCCAGUAUUUAAACUUGUGGUUUUUUUCACAGUAGUAUUCCGGAAAAAAAAGAACCUACCUUCCAGGGUCUCGGGCAGUAGGGACCCAUCUGAAAUUAAUUUGCCCCGUUGAAUUUGUGAUUAUAUUUUCCUUUGCCAGUGAAUUAGGUGCCGAAUUCCUUCUCACAGGGCAAAAUUACUCAGAAUGAAUGAGUAAUGAAGAGAAAUAGUGGAAAAAUGUGUACAGUUUAAACGGUAGGGCUUUGAAAACCCCACAUUAUUCAAUGUAAACACAUUAUUCUGCAUGAUUGACUCGGAUAUGGCGCUACCACAGGGAGAGGUGAAGUCAUGGUCUUAAGCUCUGUGCCGGCAGGCACACACUCAGUGGAUUUCACUCCUGUUUUCAUUUUCGUUCUGAGGUGGUUAAAAAUGAAAAAGCAAUCGCAAAAAGAUAAAUGACGAGUCUUUCAUCACGAGACUCCGUGAAUAAGAACAAGACCGAUCGUGAAAAAAUAUUUGUGUGACAGUCAGAAGGUCUAUCUGCCAUUUCUUUAAAAAAAUCUUUCUGGAUUUUUGUUUUGCAGGUGGUCUGCAUUUGCCACCAGGUGCUCUUGAAAAUGAAACACAAGCUGUUGUUCAGAGAAGAUCGCCGGUAACGUUCUGCUGUCCGUGCCAGUAACAUUUCUCUGCAUUUGGUUCAAGGCCAAAAAAAAGAAAAAAAAAUUCCUGUGGAUGUCCCAAAAACAACAACCUCAGAAGUGCAGCUAAUCCCUGGAGAUGGAAAAUGUAGGUGGGCGGGGUUUAGCGGAAGAGGCCGUGUUUGAGUUAUACAGUGCCGGGCACUGUAGGAUCACAAACUUAUUCCUCUGUGUUUUUUUUAAAUUCUGUUUUCUGUCACUAAUGGGAGACCUUGAGAGGGCCCUGUCUGCAGGUGCAGCCUGUAGCCGCCAAGCCGCACGGCCCUGCUUUCAUGUGGAGGUCCCUGUGAGGGACGGGGCAACUUCAAAAGGCGGUUUUGAAGUCCUGACACUGGAGCGGCCGGCCCCCCCCCCAGCCCCGCCCCUCCCCCCCCCCUCCUGGUCCGCUGGACGUGACGUUGCUGGUUCCACAGACGGGGAGCGGCCUUUUCGGUGGCAGCCGGGGGGGGGGGUGGGUUUGACUGGGUUUCCUGGUAGAGGUGAGGCCACCUGUGUGUGAGUCACGGCCGUGGAACCGCAGGUGUUCCUCAUCCAGAGUCCGUGUUGCAGAGGGUGCCAGAGGGCCUUGGUGGUGCAUCGAGUUAGUACGUGUCCGUGUUCUUGUCCUGCCCCGAAUCAGCUUGUCCCCCUGGCGUGUUCUCCUCUCUGGGUAAGAAUGACUCCCGUCGCCUGCUCACUGGCCGCGACACAGUGGGAUGAGGUAAACCAUAAGCUUCUCCCAGCUGCUAAAUAAACAGGGUUUUUGUUAUUUUUCCUCUGUGCCAGUGUGCCUGUCAGUAUUUUCCAUUCACGUAUACUUUAUGAUCUCACUGGUGACAUUUGUGCUAAUAGGGGGGGGAGAGGGGAACUUGCAGGGUACGAGUACCUCUCUCUCAGGGUCACUUCCUGUGUCUGGGGUCACUUACAGUGUGCCAGCAGGCCAGAGAGGAGCAUCCUCUUAAAAAGGGCCAUCGCUGGAUAGCGGGCCCCCCGUCCCAGAGGGCCGCAGUGUCUGCUGGUUUUCGGUGUGUUUCUGCUCUUAAGUGACUCGGUUAGGGCCCCCAGUUUGACUGAAGAGUUCGCACACCUUGUUUCCAAGCCCUGAAUUGGCCGUUGAUUGAAGCAAAGCCACAGAAGCGUGCAGAAGCGUCCUUAGAUUUAACACCCGGAGCGCAACGCUGCUAACCUUAACCCUUUAACAUGCAGAACUCAGCUGUUGGGUUCCUACCCAGCCCCUCUCCCACACGUCCACCCCCCCCUUCCCCUUCCCCCUCCCCCUCCUGUGCAGCUGGGUCCUGUAAAAGGGGCUACCCUCCUCAUUUGAAAGGGGAUAUGUAUGUGAACAGGUGUGGGUGGAGUCGGGGGUGGGGGGGGCGAGGGGUCAGGGAUGCAAACAGGCUCUGGGGCCUCUCUCUCUCUUGCCCCCGGCGCAUCUUUUAGGGGCCCCUUUUAUAGCGGAGGCCUUUUUGCCUCCCGAUGCCAGUGAAAGCUCUUCCUGGUUACGUGAGAGGGACCGAGUCGUUGUCAUAAAACUUGGAUAAAGUGCACUAUUGAUGGAGUGGGAUGGCCAUCCGUCGCUGGCCCCAUUUUGAUGAAGGGGCUCAGUUCAGCCCGAGCGCGUCCGCAGCGUCCUCACUGAGGCCCUUGUGUUGCCCCGAGAGUUAUAGGGCUGAUGGCUGCUUCCCUCAGCACUUAGGGCAAGAAAUCAUGUUCCUGCAUCCGCUGACAAGGCGGCAGAUACAAGCCCGGCUUUGCUGGGUUUAUCGGUCAGUCGCCUGUUGCGCCGCACCACCCUGGGGAGGCGAAUCACUUGGAGGGUUGGGGGUUAGUUUGACCUUUGACCCUGGAAAUUUCCUCCAGCCAUAUGCCCUGCGCUGUGGCGAGGCUCGGUGGCUUCGAGCUGGCGAUGGAGCUCUUUGCUAUUGCUGGGAACAAUGGCUGUCACGGUCGUAAAAAGAGGCCCCGCGGUGCAGCCUCUUCCUGGGUCCAAAGGUCAGUUAUGAGUUUUGGCUGGGCAGAGACGGCACUCUCCGGCCAGCCUGUGGCAGCAGUAGGCCCAGACCCUGAAAGCACACAAGGGGGAGGGGGGAGGGGCGGGGGGCGGGGACAGACCCUCUCCCAGUGAAGUAGGUCAUGGCACAGAGCUAUUUUCCUCCAGACAGACAGACAGACAGACAGACAGACAGACAGAGAGCAUUCCAGGCUGGACGGCCUUCAGCCAGCCGGGGCGGUAUUUGGGGCACGGGAACAGCUGUGGCGGCCCCUCGCUACUGGUGGAGCCGGAGCGGCGGGCUGCCAGAGAGAGCGGUCUGGGCCGGGCCUGGGCGACUGGGAGCUACACCUGUGCCUGCGGAACUCCGAGCCUCGGGGCUGUGUCUGUCUGGCCCCAACUACACCCCCCCUGCCCCCCCCCCCCAAAACCCCCACCCCGUCUUUUUCCCACUACACGACAAAUGCUAUCACGGCGCUGAGCCAUUUUUCUGCUUAUGUCAUAGCCCUCCAGCGACCGCAGGAUGGCGACCGACGUUGUCAUCGAACCCGCUCUCCCCAGCUGUCUCUCGCCUGUAAUGUUCAGAGAAGCAAAUGUGGCCAUUUGUGUUUUUAUUUAAAGCCAGCCCUUGUUGCCUCAGGAGUCCCUUAUUCAAACCAUGUCACCCCACCCAACCCUAACCCUAACCCCCCCACCCGUAAAUGCGUCUCAUCAACCCCAGGCUUAGGCUAGGGAAAUCAGUCAUGUGACCAGAUCAGAAAUCCUUAAAGACAUUGACCCUGAAAGGGUAACAUGGUAAGCAAACCAGAAACAUGCAGUUAAAUAAUUUUGCUAUACAAAUAAAAAUUGAUUGAUUGAUUUAUCAUUUUUGCUGGUUCACAGCAGCACGUUUUGUGAGCCAAUCCUUUUUCAUUUUGGAUAUUUAAAUUACAUAAAUGAUGUCAUUUUUGUUGACAAAUUAUUUUUUUCUCCUUUCUUCCAGAUUUGUUGGAACACCCAGUUGGAACUCUUGGCCUCUCCCAUUGCCGUUUCCGUUGACUCUGCAGCAAUCCAAUCCAACAUCAGGGGGAACUGCUGAACUGCUGGGAGCACUUGCAGUCACAGUCCGAAUGACUGAAACCCUUCCUCCCUGGCGUCAGCCAUUUCCAGAGGAACUCAGCUGACAGCCGCAAAUGGGGGAGUGGAUGAUUUCCCAUCAUGCACCGGUGCAGCAUGUUGACUGUGGUUUUUCCUGACUCCCACCUGCGUGAUGAUCGUACCGUAGCAUCAGGGCACUUAACCACUGCCCCGGAGGUGUUGAAAACUGUGUUCCCUGGAAGAGACACUCGGAUGAGCUCUUCUUGGAAGGAGACAAGACUUGGCUUGAAGUCUCUUAGCCGCAGAUGGGCUGUCAAAACCUCUCUUCACAACCGUCACUGAAUUGCCAAAAUCACACGGCCGAGGAGGGUGAUCUUGCAACCUCCUGCUUUCAAGGUUCUGUGUCGGCCCCCUUGCCAGUGCAUUCGGCCUGAAAAUUUCAAAUCAGAUGCAAGCGGUGGUUAGUCAUCCACCAGCAGCGGCUGUUCUUUGAUGGCGGCUGCACACGCGGCUCCAGGAGAAGUGCUCCACACUUCCCCUCUCCACACAAUGCCGCGGUUUUGCAUAUUUGCUGCGUGUUUUUAAUACCGAAGCAGAGCAAGUGAAAGCGAAAAAAUUCAUGAAAACCGACUUCUGACGUUUCACGUUUCCAUCCUGUGUGUGGCUUUUUGUCUUUUUGUGUGUCUGAGCAAACUUAGGGAACGACAACAAAAUACAGACAUCUGUGUGUUCAGGAGCUGUACAUACUGAGUAUGUACAGCUAAAUGUAACUAUUGAUGUCUGGAAGUUAAGAUGCGUUUACUAGUUAUAGAUGUCGAGAUUAUUUAUGUAUAAAGCAGAACAUAACUAAUUUUACCGCUCUACUCUAAUGCCCUGUAUUCCUGUGCAUUCUGUCAUUUUAAACUUCCCUUUAAAUGCGUAUUUUCAGCAGUGCAGAGGUUCCUAGACAGGGUCAUUGUGUACUACUGAAACCAGACACAACAGAACACUGAGGCAGCUCGGCACAAUGCACUUCAAUACAAUGUAAAACACAACAGAACAAUGGAACUGGCUGAAUUGGUGAGACCGGAGAGGAAAAGAGGGGAGGGAGGGGGCAGGAGGGUGAGAGAGAGAGAGACAGGGAGAGAGAGGAUAACUGUGUCCAUAUACAUUAUACAAAUAAUUAUAAUUGCUGUCACCAGUUGGCACUAUCUCCAGACUUUACUACUAACUUGCCAAACUACGUUUGUGAAGCGAAAAACAGUGCCGCAGUUGCCCUUAUUUGUACAUGAAAGUUAAAAAGAAAAUGUUUAUUGAAUCCAAGCCACUGUUUUGUUUUAAAAUGAGUAAAGCCAUUUCAAACUGAAAAUGGAUAAUGUAGAGAUUAAAAAACUAAAAACAAAUAAAAUGAAAAUGAGAUGUAAGGGACUGAUAAGAGAGAAAUGAGAGACUAAGAAAAACUGACAGAGGAGAAACCCGAUUGUUGUGAACAAGCAUUCCUCAGAACCGUCAGAAGUAGCGCAGGUGUCUUCCUGUUUGUGCUCUGCUGUUAAACAUUCUUUAACCCUGUGAAGAGUAGGUUUUUGGAAUGUUUGUUUUUUCAAAAUUCUAAGCGAGUGUUCUAGAACUCCAUUGCUUUCAGCUACCAGUAGUGAUUAUUCUAUUGGCAUUGGAAUGUUUAAGAACAUUCUUAUCACAUAUUUGUGACCUCACACCUUAGCACCUUAAGGGUUAACCAGUAGAGUCGACCCAGAGCAUUGACAAGUCUGCUAAAUUGACUUACACAUCUAGUUUCCACACCAGUACACAAUCGCAUCCAAUCUCAAAAAGCACUAAGACCAACACUUGCCCAUUUUGGAUAAAAUUGGACAUCCCAGUUCUACACAAUAUCCAUGCAUAAAUGAGCCGCAGGUCUGUUUUGGCCAUUUAUGGUUCUCUGUUAUUCAGAUGCAUUAGAUUCUUAUUCUCCUCAACCCUUACCCCCUGUCCCCUUUAAGCUGGUAGUUUAUACGAUGGUGUUUUCGUGAAGUUGUGUUGCUAUGCUGGGUAAGACCUGGCUACAGUCAAUAUUUGUCCUUGCAUAUUGACGCCCAAUUGCAUGCUGUUUUUUUUUCUUUUCUUAGCAAGUUCAGCAAUAACCAAAAAGUAACUUGCCUAACUUGUUUAGUGGUUGCGUUUAUUUGAGUCAAACUCAAGGACAAGUGGUGAUUGGAAACCAGGCCAUGGUUACACGUGCUCACAGUUUUGGUCAAACUUCGUUAUCCUCCCAGAGAUACAGACAUUUAGGACUCGAUUUAGAACUUAUAGAAGGUGACACCGGGCCAAGUGAGACCCCCUAGCCCGAACCCUAACCAUUGCAGCAGUGAGGGGCUUUUGCAACACUGUCCUACAUGUGCAAUGCCAGUGAAAUAUCCUGGUGCAAAGGGCUGGCCAAGACAGGCCGCUUCGGUGCCGCAACUACAGCUGGCAACUUACACAACAGGAAGCUGCCACGGAGUUUCCUAACCACGGCGCACCUCGCACGCUGAAAGUCUGUUUGCAUACGGCUUUAUCUUCCUUUUUUCCCUCCAUUUGAAGAAGAAAACAAAUUUGAUUUUCAGAAUGUACAAGGGCGAGGAACGAAGCCAAAGAAACUCGCAGGUUCUCGUCAUGAGAAGUGCACGGUGUGCGCACAAGCCUUUCAUAUCCUUUUUGUCUCAUUUUUUUUUAUUCAGCUGAAUUUUUUGUUCAUUUCGGUAAAUUAUUUUUUAUGGGAGCAUUUUGUAGAAUAGGUGUGUUCUUCCACGGUGUUCCUGCAUUUUCUUUGGGUGCCUGGCAACAGUAAUCUAUAGGUGACGACAUCUUUCCGUCUUCAUGC